UACGUAGGACGCGAGCGUUGUCCGGAAUUAUUGGGCGUAAAGAGCUCGUAGGCGGCCUGUUGCGUCCGCUGUGAAAUCCCAGGGCUCAACCCUGGGCGUGCAGUGGAUACGGGCAGGCUGGAGGCAGGCAGGGGAGAACGGAAUUCCCGGUGUAGCGGUGAAAUGCGUAGAUAUCGGAAGGAACACCAGUGGCGAAAGCGGCUUCCUGGUCCAGCACCGACGUCAGGCACGAAAGCGUGGGGAGCAAACAGG
rnacentral:rRNA from 1 species